GAUGAACGCUGGCGGCGUGCCUAAUACAUGCAAGUCGAGCGAACAGACGAGGAGCUUGCUCCUCUGACGUUAGCGGCGGACGGGUGAGUAACACGUGGAUAACCUACCUAUAAGACUGGGAUAACUUCGGGAAACCGGAGCUAAUACCGGAUAAUAUAUUGAACCGCAUGGUUCAAUAGUGAAAGACGGUUUUGCUGUCACUUAUAGAUGGAUCCGCGCCGCAUUAGCUAGUUGGUAAGGUAACGGCUUACCAAGGCAACGAUGCGUAGCCGACCUGAGAGGGUGAUCGGCCACACUGGAACUGAGACACGGUCCAGACUCCUACGGGAGGCAGCAGUAGGGAAUCUUCCGCAAAGGGCGAAAGCUUGACGGAGCAACGCCGCGUGAAUGAUGAAGGUCUUCGGAUCGUAAAACUCUGUUAUUAGGGAAGAACAAAUGUGUAAGUAACUAUGCACGUCUUGACGGUACCUAAUCAGAAAGCCACGGCUAACUACGUG
rnacentral:rRNA from 1 species